rnacentral:rRNA from 1 species
GCUUAGAGUUUGAUCCUGGCUCAGGACGAACGCUGGCGGCAGGCCUAACACAUGCAAGUCGAGCGAACUCUUCGGAGUGAGCGGCAGACGGGUGAGUAACGCGUGGGAACCUACCCAAGGGUACGGAAUAACUCGGGGAAACUCGGGCUAAUACCGUAUGUGUCCUUCGGGAGAAAGAUUUAUCGCCCUUGGAUGGGCCCGCGUUGGAUUAGCUAGUUGGUGGGGUAACGGCUCACCAAGGCGACGAUCCAUAGCUGUUCUGAGAGGAAGAUCAGCCACACUGGGACUGAGACACGGCCCAGACUCCUACGGGAGGCAGCAGUGGGGAAUCUUGGACAAUGGGCGAAAGCCUGAUCCAGCCAUGCCGCGUGAGUGAUGAAGGCCCUAGGGUUGUAAAGCUCUUUCACCUGCGAGGAUAAUGACGGUAGCAGGAGAAGAAGCCCCGGCUAACUUCGUGCCAGCAGCCGCGGUAAUACGAAGGGGGCUAGCGUUGUUCGGAAUUACUGGGCGUAAAGCGCGCGUAGGCGGAUCGUUAAGUCAGAGGUGAAAGCCCAGAGCUCAACUCUGGAACUGCCUUUGAUACUGGCGAUCUUGAGACCGGGAGAGGAGAGUGGAAUUCCCAGUGUAGAGGUGAAAUUCGUAGAUAUUGGGAAGAACACCCGUGGCGAAGGCGGCUCUCUGGCCCGGUUCUGACGCUGAGGUGCGAAAGCGCGGGGAGCAAACAGGAUUAGAUACCCUGGUAGUCCACGCCGUAAACGAU